UACGUAGGGUGCAAGCAUUAAUCGGAUUUAUUGGGCGUAAAGGGCGCGUAGGCUGGGGUACAAGUCAACUGUGAAAUCCCGAGGCUCAACCUCGGAACUGCAUUUGAAACUAUAUCCCUAGAGGGUAGGCGGAGAAAACGGAAUUCCACAAGUAGCGGUGAAAUGCGUAGAUAUGUGGAAGAACACCAGUGGCGAAGGCGGUUUUCUAGCUUAUACCUGACGCUGAGGCGCGAAAGCAAGGGGAGCAAACAGG
rnacentral:rRNA from 1 species